rnacentral:snRNA from 1 species
GUACUUACCUGGACGGGGUCAACUCAUGAUCAAGAAGAUGAGUGGCCUAAGCUAGUGACCUCCAUUGCACAUAACGGAGGGGCGCUUAGCCUUAAGGUCUCCCCAAGUGGGAGAGCCUGCGUCAUUAUUUGUGGCAGUUGGGGCCUGCGUUCGCGCGGCCCCUAC